rnacentral:rRNA from 1 species
AUGUCCAUCUCGCGGUUUUCCUCCUCUCUCCACACCGCCACCUUUGCAUUGUGCUACUUACCAGACAAUCUGUUACUAAACCUUCAACUCCCAUUUCUCAAAAAACUUUCACUUGUGCAGGUUCGUAUGUCGGAGGCCUCAUUGCACAACAUCAUCCACUCCAGUUGCCCUGCCCUGGAGUGCUUGGUGCUUGUUUUCACAGUUAGAAUCGGCUGUCUCCAAAUAAAGUCGCCUAACCUUGUAAGAAUUGGAAUUUCUUUUGACGGAAGGCAGCUCAUCAUCCAAGAUGCCCCUUCACUUCAAAGGUUGAUCCUUGAUUCUAGUUAUUCACCGUCGCAAAUAACUGUCCUGUUUGCGCCUAAACUGGAGAACUUGGGUGUAAUACAUGAUUUUGUGCUCAUUUCAAGAUGGUGUUUGGCUCCAUAG